rnacentral:rRNA from 2 species
UGGGGGAUAUUGCACAAUGGGCGAAAGCCUGAUGCAGCGACGCUGCGUGGGGGAUGAAGGCUUUCGGGUUGUAAACCUCUUUCGCUAUCGAACAAGGCCCGCUUAGGGUGGGUUGAGGGUAGGUGGAGAAGAAGCGCCGGCUAACUACGUGCCAGCAGCCGCGGUAAUACGUAGGGCGCGAGCGUUGUCCGGAAUUAUUGGGCGUAAAGGGCUUGUAGGCGGCUUGUUGCGCCUGCUGUGAAAACGCGGGGCUUAACUUCGCGCGUGCAGUGGGUACGGGCAGGCUUGAGUGUGGUAGGGGUGACUGGAAUUCCAGGUGUAGCGGUGGAAUGCGCAGAUAUCUGGAGGAACACCGAUGGCGAAGGCAGGUCACUGGGCCAUUACUGACGCUGAGGAGCGAAAGCAUGGGUAGCGAACAGG